UUAAAUUUUUAGAAGCUUUAGAUGAUGAUUUGAUGUUUAAUGCUCAACAACAACCACAUUCUGAACCGCAACA
rnacentral:lncRNA from 1 species